GAUGAACGCUGGCGGCGUGCCUAAUACAUGCAAGUCGAGCGAACGGACGAUAAGCUUGCGUCUCUGAUGUUAGCGGCGGACGGGUGAGUAACACGUGUAUAACCUACCUAUAAGACUGGUAUAACUUCGGGAAACCGGAGCUAAUACCGGAUGAUAUUUUGAACCGCAUGGUGCAAAAGUGAAAGACGGUCGUGCGGUCACGUAUAGAUGGAUCUGCGCUGCAUUAGAUAGUUGGUAAGGUAACGGGUUACCAAGGCAACGAUGCAUAGCCGAACUGAUAGGGUGAUAGGCCACCCUGGAACUGGGACACGGUCCAGACUCCUACGGGAGGCAGCAGUAGGGAAUCUUCCGCAAAGGGCGAAAGCAUGACGGAGCAACGCCGCGUGAGUGAUGAAGGCCUUCGGAUCGUAAAAACCUGUUAUUAGGGAAGAACAUAUGUGUAAGUAACUGUGCACAUCUUGACGGUAAUUAAUCAGAAAGCAACGGCUAACUACGUG
rnacentral:rRNA from 1 species